ACGCUCGACACCUACGGGAGGCAGCAGUUAGGAAUAUUCGUCAAUGGGGGAAACCCUGAACGAGCAAUGCCGCGUGUGUGAUGAAGGCCCUCUGGGUUGUAAAACACUGUUGUUUGGAAAGAAUUGUAUAAGUAGGAAAUGACUUAUACUUGACGGUACCAUUCAAGAAAGCCACGGCUAACUACGUGUCAGCAGCCGNGGUAAUCUGAGCGGGCUGGCAAGGC
rnacentral:rRNA from 1 species